CUUCACCGACCCCAGCCACAGCGGCCGUUCGGGAUCCCGCCCCUGCCCGUACGUGGCCAGCAGCGCCCCGGCCUC
rnacentral:antisense_RNA from 1 species